rnacentral:rRNA from 1 species
GAUGAACGCUGGCGGCGUGCCUAAUACAUGCAAGUAGAACGCUGAAGGAGGAGCUUGCUCUUCUGGAUGAGUUGCGAACGGGUGAGUAACGCGUAGGUAACCUGCCUGGUAGCGGGGGAUAACUAUUGGAAACGAUAGCUAAUACCGCAUGACAACAGUUAUUGCAUGAUAACUGUUUAAAAGGGGCAACUGCUCCACUACCAGAUGGACCUGCGUUGUAUUAGCUAGUUGGUGAGGUAACGGCUCACCAAGGCGACGAUACAUAGCCGACCUGAGAGGGUGAUCGGCCACACUGGGACUGAGACACGGCCCAGACUCCUACGGGAGGCAGCAGUAGGGAAUCUUCGGCAAUGGACGGAAGUCUGACCGAGCAACGCCGCGUGAGUGAAGAAGGUUUUCGGAUCGUAAAGCUCUGUUGUAGAGAAGAACGAGUGUGAGAGUGGAAAGUUCACACUGUGACGGUAUCUUACCAGAAAGGGACGGCUAACUACGUG